rnacentral:rRNA from 1 species
UCUUUAUAAUAAAGUUAUUUUAAUAGGUUAUUUUAUAUAAAUUAAUUAUUUUACUAACUAGUUAUUUUAUUGGGGUGAUAAAAAAAUUUAAUUAACUUUUUUAAUUAAUUUACUUAAAUUAAAGAUUUCUAAUUUAUGAUCUAUUAAUAAUAAUUCAAAGAAUAAGA